UACGUAGGGUGCGAGCGUUGUCCGGAAUUAUUGGGCGUAAAGAGCUUGUAGGCGGUUUGUCGCGUCUGCUGUGAAAAUCCGGGGCUCAACCCCGGACUUGCAGUGGGUACGGGCAGACUAGAGUGUGGUAGGGGAGACUGGAAUUCCUGGUGUAGCGGUGAAAUGCGCAGAUAUCAGGAGGAACACCGAUGGCGAAGGCAGAUCUCUGGGCCGUAACUGACGCUGAGGAGCGAAAGCGUGGGGAGCGAACAGG
rnacentral:rRNA from 1 species